rnacentral:rRNA from 1 species
AUUGAACGCUGGCGGCAGGCCUAACACAUGCAAGUCGAACGCGUGGCGGACGGGUGAGUAAUGUCUGGGAAACUGCCUGAUGGAGGGGGAUAACUACUGGAAACGGUAGCUAAUACCACAUACCAUCAUGUGUGCCCAGAUGGGAUUAGCGAGUAGGGGGGGUAAAGGCUCACCUAGGCGACGAUCCCUAGCUGGUCUGAGAGGAUGACCAGCCACACUGGAACUGAGACACGGCCCAGACUCCUACGGGAGGCAGCAGUGGGGAAUAUUGCACAAUGGGCGCAAGCCUGAUGCAGCCAUGCCGCGUGUAUGAAGAAGGCCCUCGGGUUGUAAAGUACUUUCAGCGGGGAGGCGUUACCCGCAGAAGAAGCACCGGCUAACUCCGUGCCAGCAGCCGCGGUAAUAC